rnacentral:rRNA from 1 species
AUACGUAGGUGACAAGCGUUAUCCGGAUUUACUGGGCGUAAAGGGCGUGUAGGCGGUCUUGCAAGUCAGAAGUGAAAUUCCUGAGCUCAACUCGGGCGCUGCUUCUGAAACUGCAGGACUUGAGUGCUGGAGGGGAUAGCGGAAUUCCUAGUGGAGCGGUAAAAUGCGCAGAUAUUAGGAAGAACACCGGUGGCGAAGGCGGUUAUCUGGACAGUAACGGACGCUGAGGCGCGAAAGCGGGGGGAGCAAACAGGAUUAGAUCCCCUGGUAGUCCACGCCGUAAACGAUGAAUACUAGGUGUAGGGGGUAUCGACUCCCUCUGUGCCGCAGUUAACACAAUAAGUAUUCCGCCUGGGGAGUACGGCCGCAAGGUUGAAACUCAAAUGAAUUGACGGGG